GGAGAGGUGGCUGAGUGGUCGAAAGCACUUCAUUGCUAAUGAAGCGACCGGGUCAAACUGGUCCGCAGGUUCGAAUCCUGUCCUCUCCG
rnacentral:tRNA from 1 species